ACUCCUACGGGAGGCAGCAGUGGGGAAUAUUGGACAAUGUGGCGAAAGCCUGAUCCAGCAAUACCGAGUGGGUGACGAAGGGCCUUAGGGUUGUAAAGCCCUUUUCAGCAGGGAAGAUAAUGGACGGUACCAUGACCAAGAAAAGCCCCGGGCUAACUCCGUGCCCAGCAGCCGCGGUAAGACUGGAGGGGGGCUAGGCGUUGUUCUGGAAUUACUGGGGCGUAAAGAGUGCGUAGGCGGUUUAGUAAGUUGGAAGUGAAAGCACCGAGGCUUUAACCUCGGAACUGCUUUCAAAACUACUAAUCUAGAGUGUAGUAGGGGAUGAUGGAAUUCCUAGUGUAGAGGUGAAAUUCUUAGAUAUUAGGAGGAACACCGGUGGCGAAGGCGGUCAUCUAGGCUACAACUGACGCUGAUGCACGAAAGCGUGGGGAGCAAACAGGAUUAGAUACCCUGGUAGUCCACGCCGUAAACGAUGAGUGCUAGAUAUCGGGAGAAUUUCUUUCGGUUUCGUAGCUAACGCAUUAAGCACUCCGCCUGGGGAGUACGGUCGCAAGAUUAAAACUCAAAGGAAUUGACGGGGGCUCGCACAAGCGGUGGAGCAUGCGGUUUAAUUCGAUGUUACGCGAAAAAACCUUACCAACCCUU
rnacentral:rRNA from 1 species